GAAACUCAAGCUAAUACCGCAUACGCCCUACGGGGGAAAGCGGGCUUCGGCUCGCACUAUUGGAUGAGCCUAUGCCUGAUUAGCUUGUUGGUGGGGUAACGGCCUACCAAGGCGACGAUCAGUAGCUGGUCUGAGAGGACGAUCAGCCACACUGGGACUGAGACACGGCCCAGACUCCUACGGGAGGCAGCAGUGGGGAAUAUUGCACAAUGGGCGCAAGCCUGAUGCAGCAAUGCCGCGUGUGUGAAGAAGGCCUGCGGGUUGUAAAGCACUUUCAGUAGGGAGGAAACAGUAACGGGUUAAUACCCCGAUACCUUGACGUUACCUACAGAAGAAGCACCGGCUAACUCUGUGCCAGCAGCCGCGGUAAUACAGAGGGUGCGAGCGUUAAUCGGAAUUACUGGGCGUAAAGCGCGCGUAGGCGGUUUGGUCAGUCGGAUGAGAAAGCCCCGGGCUUAACCUGGGAAUUGCAUUCGAUACUGCCAGGCUAGAAUGUANUAGAGGGAAGUGGAAUUCCGGGUGUAGCGGUGAAAUGCGUAGAGAUCCG
rnacentral:rRNA from 1 species